ensembl:lncRNA
AGGGAGUAUUGGUACCGGGCAGAGGCUGCGGUCCCACCUCCAAUGCCUCGGGGGUGGCUGCAGCCGCCGGUCCGGGCACAGCGGCCACACGGUGUCACCCGCGUCCCACCGCCGGGCUCCGACAGGGCAGAGCAGCGAUGCUCUCCGGUGAGCGCUCCGGAACAAGGAAGCGCUGCCGGCCUGGAAUCGCAACCCCUUUUUCACGGCGUUUUUGAGAGCUAGGAUGCUGCCAAGUUUUUCCACCUGUUCUUUCCUUCCCCAUCCAUGAGAAAGUCUCCCAGGAGAGGAAUUACCACGGUCCAGUGCAGCCACAAGCAGGUUAAAAAGAAGGAUCCCAGUCCUGCUGCUGAUGGGUCUCCAGACAGCUUGGAUGUAACUUUCCACUUGGAUGUUCACAGUGUUUGGGAUACAGGCACAGUGAGCAAUAGAGAUGCUCAGCAACCUGGGAGGAGCUGCUCUGCAAUCUGACUGCCAGCCCUGUGCUGUGGCCUCAGCUCAGCGCCUCCCCAGGGUGGGUGAGAUACGUCUGAGCCCCGAGUCCAAAGUUUUGGAUGAAACAGCUUUCCUCGAUUUGAUGCCUCAACCUGCAGUUUAAACCUCUAUCCCCACUGGCAGACCCUCAGCCAGUCCGGAGCUGCCUGCAGUCACUGUAAUAAUGCCAACCAGAGAAGCCUUAAUCCUUUAGUGAAGGAUAACUGCAGGUCUCUGCUUUUAUUCCAUCUGCUGAUCUAAGGGAAAAAACUCGUCCCCUUCAUGGCUGGUGAAGGAAGGGAAUCUGACUCAUAAAGAAACAUAAAGUGCAAUUGAGUUCCCACUUACUUCAGUGGAAGAAUUGAUGUGCCCAAGGUCAGAGAGAAAGUCGAUAGCGGAGCUGGGGAAAAGAAGCAGGAGUUUUGAAGCCAGUGCCUUUCAUGCAGCCACCACUCCCUUUGCUGAGCGAUCCAAGCCCAAGGCCAAAUAAAUCUCCAGCGUAAUCCCAAUUGUCAGGAGGCAUGUGGUCUCCUGAGGCACCAGACGUGUGUGAGAACAUGGAGAUGAGAGCUUUGAUGUGCCUUUGAGAGAACACUGGAAGAAACAGAGCAGAUACGGGAACUUCUCCAAUGGGAUGAACAGCUCUGAGAAGCAGCCUGGAGGAUACAUACAUGAUGGACCAUGCACUCCUGAGCCUGGCACAGCCUUCGGGGAGGGAGAUGCUCUGGCAAUGGGGAUGCAGCCUCUGACACCACCUAAAACAUGGUGUGUCAGCUGCUUCGUAACACAGCUCUUCUUGUCCUCUAUGCAGAUCUGCUUUCCUGCAAAGAGAACAAAGACAUCGUUUGUCCAGAGAAAGGUUUCUUCCAUCAAGCUCAGACACAUCCUGAAAGAAGUGCAUGAAGACUUGCAUGAGUUGGUGAUUGUGGAGACACUAAAAAGGUGAUGCUCACCAUGUCCUCUCCUGUUGGAAGCAGUAGCCUCAAAAUCCGCCCCCUCACCACCAUCCAAAGCCUCAAGCUAAGUAAGAGCAAUGCCAGGGCAGAUGGCUGCACAGCAGGGCUCUCAGCGUCACUGCUCACUCUUCCCCUACAUGCCCUGUCCUGCUCAGCAGUUUUCCCAUGAACUUAUCUGAGCGGCACUCUUUGCUUUGUGCUAUGAAAAUCAAAGAUGAGGUGUCCUGAAUGAAAAGCUCACAGUUACCACGAGGUCUGCCUCUCAAUGCGCUGGGAAUAGAAAUGUGGCAAUCAGACUUUGGGAUGAAAUCAUAUUGGACAUGCUGGCUUAAUCUCUAAAGUAUGAAAUUGUAAGGAAGGAAUUACAGCUAAAAAACAUUUCACAUUUUAGAAAGCUUCUCUGACCCAUGCUGGAUCAGGAGAGAGAAGGAAAAGAGGGUAAAAAAAAAAAAAAACCAACAACCCCAAACCUGUGGAAUUCAAAUGACUGUAGCCAUUUGGGUUAGAAAAAAUCCAUCAUCAAAUAAACAGACUCCUGCACUUGUACUGUGAUGCACGACUGUGUUUGUAAAGGAAAAGGCUGACUUUGGCUUAUUUCAAUUCUCAGGAUCAGGUUAUUUGCUAUUUGCAAAUACUUGGGUGUUAGCUUCAUGUAUCUUAGCCCAGUUCAUCUCACAAUCGUGUUUAUGUUAGAUAUGGUACAGUACUGAGCUAGCUGCUCUUCCAGUACACCUUUAUUUAGCUGGGCCAUCAGAGAGAAGAAACAAUAGCCCAUAGAUAGCCAGCUGCAGAAGAUGAAUUAUAAGCAGAAAAAUAAUCAUCAAGCAAUUUGUGGGUUCCUUGCUGGAAGACAUUUGCAAUUCAAUGAAUAUUAUCUAAUGUACAUCCAAAACCAGAGACUCUCGCUCUUCUAUUCCAUGAGUUGCAAAAAACAGCAACAACAACAAAAAACAACCAAACACCCAAAUUUUAGAAAACUGUAUUAUUCACGUCAUCAUAAAGAGAAAGGAGGACUGGGACAACAGUGGCGAUGAGUACUGCCACACUCGAUGGCACACCUUGA